rnacentral:rRNA from 1 species
CAGCCGCCGCGGUAACACGUAGGUGGCAAGCAUUGUCCGGAAUUAUUGGGCGUAAAGGGCUCGCAGGCGGUUUCUUAAGUCUGAUGUGAAAGCCCCCGGCUCAACCGGGGAGGGUCAUUGGAAACUGGGGAACUUGAGUGCAGAAGAGGAGAGUGGAAUUCCACGUGUAGCGGUGAAAUGCGUAGAGAUGUGGAGGAACACCAGUGGCGAAGGCGACUCUCUGGUCUGUAACUGACGCUGAGGAGCGAAAGCGUGGGGAGCGGACAGGAUUAGAUACCCCUGUAGUCCCUGUCUCUUAUAC